GGAAGAAGCGAAAGUGACGGUACCUAAAGAAGAAGCACCGGCUAACUAUGUGCCAGCAGCCGCGGUAAUACAUAGGGUGCAAGCGUUGUCCGGAAUUAUUGGGCGUAAAGAGCUCGUAGGUGGUUUGUUGCGUCGGGUGUGAAAUUCAGGGGCUCAACCCCUGACCUGCACUCGAUACGGGCAAACUAGAGUUUGGUAGGGGAGACUGGAAUUCCUGGUGUAGCGGUGGAAUGCGCAGAUAUCAGGAGGAACACCAAUGGCGAAGGCAGGUCUCUGGGCCAAUACUGACACUGAGGAGCGAAAGCGCGGGGAGCGAACAGGAUUAGAUACCCUGGUAGUCCGCGCCGUAAACGAUGGGCGCUAGUUGUGGGGACCUUCCACGGUUUCUGCGACGCAGCUAACGCAUUAAGCGCCCCGCCUGGGGAGUACGAUCGCAAGAUUAAAACUCAAAUGAAUUGACGGGAAACU
rnacentral:rRNA from 1 species